rnacentral:lncRNA from 1 species
AGCUGUGGCCAGCGCCAGGCCAUGCUGAGGCUGAGGCCUGUGGGUCCCCAGAGUGCCCAGGGUGUGGUGUGGGUGAGAGUGUGCUGGUCAGUGGGAUGAGGAGAGUGCAAACAGCUCUGUCUCUGGGGAAGGCCAGGGGAGAAGAAUAGAUCCCAAGUCAUUCUGAACAUUUGGGGUGCCUGCUAUGGGUGAGCAAAAGUCUCCUCAGACUAAACAGCCCUCUUCUUUUCUCUGUGAAAAGGUUCCCCUUGAGAGGAAUUUGUCUCAAAAUCACCCCUCAGGCUUGGGCCAAGGUCAGUCUCUACAGUGGAUCUGGGAGGCAGGGUUCCAUGAACUCAGGAAGUAUCUUCCAAUUUGUUUCUGGAGGGCCAGAGGGACCCCGGAGUUUUUCAGCAUUUUGAAAUAUACAAGAUAUUCAACAAGACUAGGUGGCAGAUGGGACCAGAUAUGUGGCACAGACCUUUCAGCUCUGUGAGCUUUGACAAGUCGCCUAACUUCUGCUCUUCAGUUACCUCAUCAGUUAAACGAGGAGAAUUGUGCCCACCUGAGAGCUUGGAGAUUAAAUAGGAUCACGCAUGCGUGGCACCUGGACGAUGCCCACCCAGUACCCACGGGAGGCCCUCAGGAAGCAGUGGCUGUUACUAUCAUUGUAUCAUCACUCUGUCUCUCAGAAGAGCCUUUUCCUUUCUUUCUUUCUUUCUUUUUUUUUUUUUUGAGAUGGAGUUUUGCUCUUGUUGCCCAGGCUGGAGCACAACGUUGCGAUCUUGGCUCACUGCAACCUCGGCCUCCCAGGUUCAAGCGAUUCUCCUACCUCAGCCUCCUGAGCAAGGAGAGCCUUUUUACUCUUUUUCAGAAAGUCCUCCCUACAGCCACCUCUUUCUGUAGCUCUGACCAAAGAAAGUCUAAGGUGAAGGGACCCCAGUAACCUACACUUUACAGGUGGAGAGGCAAGAGAAGGGACUUGCCCAAGGCCACCUGGGGUGCCUGUGGCAGGGCAUCAACAAGCUCGGGUCACUGCAGCAUUCUUCUCCCCACCCUCUUCCCAUUCAGGAAAGAAGGCCAGUCCUGUCAUUUGUGCUGUUGUCUCAGACACCAAAAGGCUGUUUUCCUUCUGUCCAGCUCAGCAUCGAUGCCUGGAAUCAGGAAGCAGGGUGAUGGAAAGUGUCCUGUCUGACGUCUUCCUGCGGAGGGGGGACGGCAUCCUCACAGGCUGGGCUUCCUGAAAUACAGCUGUGGCAGCAGCUUCAGGAUUUGGCAGAACAUUUAACAUUAUUAUUAUCAUUAUUUUUGAGACAGAGUCUCACUCUGUUGCCCAGGCUGGAGUGCAGUGGCGCAGUCUCGGCUCACUGCAACCUCCGCCUCCCGGGUUCAAGCGAGUCUCCUGCCUCAGGCUCCCAAGUAGCUGGGAUUACAGGUGCGUGUCACCACGCCCGGCUAAUUUUUGUGUUUUUAGUAGAGACUGGGUUUCGCCAUGUUGACCAGGCUGGUCUUGAACCAGCGAUCUACACACCUUGGCCUCCCAAAGUGCAGAGAUUACAGGUGUGAGUAACUUCGCCCAACCAACAAUUGGAUACUUUUCAGUACUAUUUGAAUUAUUAUUAUUUGCC